UUGUUGCGGUUAAAAGCUCGUAGUUGGAUUUCUGUCGAAAACGGCCGGUCCGCUCUAUGAGCGUGCAUCUGGUUCGGUUUUGGCAUCCUUAUGAAGAACGUAACUGCGCUUGAUUGCGUGGUGCGGUAUUCAUAACUUUUACUUUGAGGAAAUUAGAGUGUUCACGGCAGGCAAGCGCCUUGAAUAUAUUAGCAUGGAAUAAUAAUAUAGGACAUGGGUUCUAUUUUGUUGGUUUCUAGAACUUAUGUAAUGAUUAAUAGGGAUAAUUGGGGGCAUUCGUAUUAACGCGUCAGAGGUGGAAUUCUUGGAUUGCGUUACGACGAACUACUGCGAAAGCAUUUGCCAAGGAUGUUUUCAUUGAU
rnacentral:rRNA from 1 species